rnacentral:RNase_P_RNA from 2 species
CGAGUCGGCAGGGCGGCCGCGGGGGUGCGACCCACCUCCGAGGAAAGUCCGGACUCCGCAGGGCAGGGUGGUUGUUAACGGCAACCCGGGGUGACCCGCGGGACAGUGCCACAGAGAACAGACCGCCUGGUUCACGCCAGGUAAGGGUGAAACGGUGGUGUAAGAGACCACCAGCGCCCCGGGUGACCGGGGCGGCUAGGUAAACCCCACCCGGAGCAAGGCCAAGAGGGAGCCCCCGGGCUCCUGCGCAGACGUCCGAGGGCUGCCCGCCCGAGUCUGCGGGUAGGCCGCACGAACCUGCCGGCGACGGCAGGUCUAGAUGGAUGGUCGCCACCCGGUGCCCCAGGGCCCCGGGGACAGGAUCCGGCUUACGGCCGGCUCGCCCG